rnacentral:rRNA from 1 species
UACAGAGGGUGCGAGCGUUAAUCGGAAUUACUGGGCGUAAAGCGCGCGUAGGCGGCUUUUCAAGUCGAUUGUGAAAUCCCCGGGCUUAACCUGGGAACUGCAGUCGAGACUGUCUAGCUAGAGUAUGGGAGAGGGAAGUGGAAUUCCAGGUGUAGCGGUGAAAUGCGUAGAUAUCGGAAGGAACAUCAGUGGCGAAAGCGACUUCCUGGACCAGUACCGACGUUCAGGCACGAAAGCGUGGGGAGCAAACAGG